rnacentral:rRNA from 1 species
UACGUAGGGGGCAAGCGUUGUUCGGAAUUACUGCGCGUAAAGCGCACGUAGGCGGAUUUGUAAGUCAGGGGUGAAAUCCCGGGGCUCAACCUCGGAACUGCCUUUGAUACUGCAAAUCUCGAGUCCGGAAGAGGUGAGUGGAAUUCCUAGUGUAGAGGUGAAAUUCGUAGAUAUUAGGAAGAACACCAGUGGCGAAGGCGGCUCACUGGUCCGGUACUGACGCUGAGGUGCGAAAGCGUGGGGAGCAAACAGG